rnacentral:ncRNA from 1 species
UAAAAGUUUUAUUCUAGCUUAUUUAAUUAGUAUAUGAAUUUUUUUAUAUGUGAAUUUUUGUAUUUAUUGGUAUUAAUUUUGAUAGUUAAUAUACUUUGUUUAUCCGCAGUAAUAAGUAUUAAAAAUUAACUUAUGUUAGAUUUAGAAAUUCAAAUUAGUAUUAACAAAAUUUGUGCCAGCAGUUGCGGUUAUACAGAUAAUACAAUUAAUUACUUUUAGUCGAUAAUUAAUUUGUUUUAUAUAAAUAUAAAUUAGAAUUUAUUAAGUGAAAUUUUAAAUUUUAAAAAUUUUUAUAUUAUAUUUUGAAGUUAUUAAAUUUAAAAUUAGACUAGGAUUAGAUACCCUAUUAUUAUAAAUGUAAAUUUUAAAAGCUUAAUUAGUGUUAGUUAUGAUCUUUAAAGUUAAAGAAUUUGGCGGUAUUUUAGUCUAUUUAGAGGAACCUGUUCUAUAAUCGAUAAUCCACGAUUUAUUGUACUUGUGUUAAUUAGUUUGUAUAUCGUCGUAGUUAGAAUAUUUUAAAAGAAUAAAAAUGUUCAAGAUUCAAUAUAAUGAAAGAAAUCAGAUCAAGGUGCAGUUUAUAUACAAGAAGAAAUGGGUUACAAUAAAUUUAUUUAUAUGGUAUAAAUGUUUGAAAAAUAUUUAUUAAAGUGGAUUUAAAAGUAAUAAGAUUUAAUUAGAUUUUAUGAUUUUAGCUCUAGAAUAUGUACAUAUCGCCCGUCGCUCUCAUUUAAAGUGAGAUAAGUCGUAACAUAGUAGGUGUACUGGAAAGUGUAUCUGGUUAGAU